rnacentral:rRNA from 1 species
UACGUAGGUGGCAAGCGUUAUCCGGAAUUAUUGGGCGUAAAGCGCGCGCAGGCGGUUUCUUAAGUCUGAUGUGAAAGCCCACGGCUCAACCGUGGAGGGUCAUUGGAAACUGGGGAACUUGAGUACAGAAGAGAAAAGCGGAAUUCCACGUGUAGCGGUGAAAUGCGUAGAGAUGUGGAGGAACACCAGUGGCGAAGGCGGCUUUUUGGUCUGUAACUGACGCUGAGGCGCGAAAAGCGUGGGGAGCAAACAGG